GGCUCGGCUCGGCUCGGCUCGGCUCGGCGCGGCUCGGCUCGGCUCGGCUCGGCUCGGCUCCCUGAGGCGGCGCGGGCCGGGCCGAGGCGCUGCCGGGCAAGCGGCGCCGCCUCACGCUGAACACGCCCAGCUCCGGGUUCUGCUGCUGCCGCGGCCCGGCCCUCGCACGGACACGGACGGGAGCGCGGGUCGGGCAGGAGAUCAUUAGGCUGUGACUGCAGUCGCGCUAAUCAAUGGGCACGAGAGCAGCAGCCAGGGUUCGGCCGAGCUCGGCUCGGUUCGGCCGGACUCGGAGCCGCUCGCUGUAUUCGAAGCUCAGCUCGGUUCAGUUCGACCGACCUCGUAAAGUUCACUUUGGUUCGGCCGAUCUCGCGUUGGUUCGGCUUGUUUAGUUCGGUUCGGCUUGUUUAGUUCGGUUCGGCUUGUUUAGUUCGGUUCGGCUGAACGCCGUUCCGUUCGGUUCCGUUCCGUUAACCUCGAUUCGGCAAAUCUCGGCCAGGUUCGGCCCUUCGGGAACGCUCGUGCAUUGUCGGCUGCACUCGGCCGGACUCGGCUCUUCGGCCGGAGAGGAGCGCUGCGGUGCAAUGGCGCCCGUGGCCGGAGCUCGCUGCGCAGCCUGGGCUCCGUGAGGGCGCGGAGGGCCGGAGCAGCCGCCCCGUCCGCCUCACCCGGUCCCUUGCGCACCGCAGCUCGCCCUGCAGCGCCCUGCGGCCGUCGCCCUGCCGUGCCGUGCCGUGCCCGGGCGCGGUGCUGAGGUGAGGGCCGGAGCGCGGGACGCGUUCGUGCCGGCCCCGCGGCUCCGGGAUCUGCUCCGUGGGAUGAAGGCCCUGCCCGCCCCGCUGCGGUGCCAGCGCUUUGCAGCGUGAGAAACGAAGUUCGCUCUUGGGAAUUUUUAAAGGGCAGUGUCUGACCCCAGCUCCGGGGGCUGUGUGGGGAUUCCUCCCUGGAGCAGGGUCACCCCCUGAGGAUGAGCCACGGAGUCGCUGGAGCAGGACAGGAGAAUUCAUCAAACUCCUCCCAUCUUUGCCAAAAGCUUUGGUGUCUAAGCAGCCAAAGCCCAGAGGCUUCAGCACCAGGGGUCGGCGCUGGAGGGCUCCUGGUCCUGCCCACGCUGUGGGGCUGCCUGUGCUGGAGCACCCUGGUCCCUGCCGUGCCCAACGCCUGAGACACAGAGAGCCCUGUCCAAAGUGGCCUUUGCCACCUUGUCAGGAAUUUGGCAGCAGCCCCAGGAGCAGGCUGGAGGAGAAAACCUCACAGCAGAGGCAGUUUGCAAUGGAGGCCAGAGUUGUGUUUGGAGCAGAGAAUGCUGAGAGCUGCAUCUGCCUGUGCUGCCACAGCCUGACAACAGCCACACGGAACAGCCUGGGAAAAGGGGACGGGGAAUUUCUGAUUCCCCAGGGAGAAGAACAGGAACUCACAGCCAUUGGGGCCUGACAGUCCCCUCCAGCCAGAGCUCAGCACACAUCCACAGAGGGAAGGGAGAAGAGGAUCCCUGUGGGAUGAGACUGGAGAGAGCGAGCAGAGGAGCGGCCUCGAGCUGGAGCAAGGCAAAGGGACCUCCCUGUGGGCAAAGGGACACAGUGCUGUCACCAGGGCACCUGUGAGGGACAGGACAGACACUUGGAGGUCACACAGAGGAAGGAGAUCCAUGUCCCUGUCUCCAGUGCACCUCCAGUGGGACCCACCUGUGAAAGCUUUCCACCACUUCUGCACCUGCACUUCAGCUGGCUCCCUGGAAAACUCCAAACGGCAUCCCACUCCAUCCUCUGAUUUUCAGGUAUCUCUGAGGGCUAUUGCUUGGAAUUUAAUAUCUGUGGGGGAAGAUUGCCUUGGCUUUAAUGCUGCUGAUAGAGAAUGGCCCCAGGCUGGAAAGGAGGAAAGGGAUUUGGGGUGGCUGGGACAUACCUGGCAGCUGUGUGGGAGCUCUAAACCAGGAACUGCUGUCUGAGCCUCCAUUCCCAGGUAAUGCCAGCUGCUCCUUGGGGUCCUUCUGGGCUGCAGCACCUCCGUGUGCCUGGGCAGAGCAGCCACGGUGCAGGCAGUGCCCUGCAGAUCCCAAGGACAGGAGGUGCUGCUGCCUUUGGGGGCUUCUGGCCUCCCCCUGCCCUGAGGGAACGCCAGGGAACACUGCUGGCAGCGAGCAGGAGACGCCCAGGCCUCUGGGCUAGAAAAUCAGCCCUGGCCUCAGCAGCCUCCAUCGUUUUGGCCUGGCAGCACUCACCUGCAGGAAACGCUCUCUGCCAUUCUCCAGAGGAACUUCAGCCAUGGAACAAGGUAACCCUCAGGACUUGUUUCUCCCUGCAAAGGGACGUGGCAUGAGCACACUUACAGCUGGGUGAAUCCUGGAAAGGACAGAAGGAUCAGGGUUAUGGGGAAGAGUGUGGUGCUGUCAUGUCAGGUGCCAGCAGUUCUGCCUGCAGCCAUCGCAGGGGCUGGCAUGUAAAGCAGUGUUAGCAGAAGGGAAGGAACUGCAUUUCUUUAGGAGUUCUCUUACUGGCAGCAGUCAUUCAUCGUGAUCCUGGGAUUGGCUCAGGUGCUUGGAGCAGGCUGCUGAGAAGACCAAAAUUCUGUGUUCCACGUGCAGCUGGGCCAGUCAUUGCUCAGUGAUGAUCCUCAUGGCUCUGGAAAUAAAGAAUAAAUAGUUUUCACUGGCUUUUCCACA